rnacentral:sRNA from 1 species
CGCAAAGGACCCGACUACAAGCAGCAGAGUCGGCCCUCAGCUGUCAGUGAGCACUGGCUGGCUGUGCGCCGGACCAGUCUGACAAGACUGGAUCGGAUUACCUGCUGUUCUUACACUGAGAUUGAGUUGGGUUGGGAGGGAGGGUGAUUACUGUAUUAUAUGUAGGUCACACACUAAAUCUCUUGGCACACUGCCUACUCAACCUCGAAGUCUAAAGAUUCGAAAGCAGUCGAAUUUCAAAAGCAUUGGACUGUAUAGGGCCUAGAUUCAAGGAACCUAUCGUCAUAAAUAUCUGCCCAAAUCUUGGUUGCUGCGCAGUAAGGCAGGUCACUAUGACGAUGUGUUCCUUGUCAGCUUGGCUGAGCCAGCCUGGAGAAGAAAGGAGACCCAUCCAGCAACCCCAGACAGCAGCUUAGUAAGAGCCUAUCCAGCCCAGAGUGCACGUGAAACUGUUGGGAAGGCCCUACUGAAGAAAACACCGACAUUUCGCAUUGAACUCGCAAAAUUCAUAUUUGAGUAAACAUGGGUCUUCUCCCAGGGAAAGAGAGCGGCUGUGCUGCUGAUACACAG